UUUUUUCCUGCGCUCAUUCCUCCGCCACCACUGGCGUUCUUUACGUCCGGAUUAACGUUGUUGUGGCCGAUAUUGCUGUAAGGAGAAGGAGAACUCGCUUGUACCGGAUCUGAAGGAGACGACGCCGGAGCGGGCGACUGUGUACCGGGUGAAGGGGCUGGGGGUGGCGCGGGCGACUGUGUACCAGGUGAAGGGGCUGGGGGUGGCGCGGGCGACUGUGUUCCGGGUGAAGGGGCUGGGGCUGGCGCGGGCGACUGUGUACCGGGUGAAGGGGCUGGGGCUGGCGCGGGCUGGGGCAAAAUGGCAGCGAAUGUGAGUUGAAGA
rnacentral:lncRNA from 1 species